UCAGGUAGUAUGGUAGUAGUUAUACUGCUUAAUGGGCCUUAUUUAGGCCUUGUUUUAGAUCUCAAUGUUUCUGUAAUUAAAUAGCUCCACUAAGCCCUGUUAAGCCUCUAAUGGCGGUAUAAGAAUUUCGAUCAGUAAUAUUGGCUGCAAAUACAAUUCCAGGAGGAAAUAACAGUUGAUAAAAUCGCAAAUGCUUUUUAAUUCUAGCAUAAAGUGUUUCAGUGUCAUUUUUUAUAUAUUACAGAUUUGCGACCAUCAACAUCAAAGUAUAUAAAAUAUCUUGAAGAUCAGUGCAGUUAUGACAGACCGCCUGAAUGGGCAUUCUCUAUAAAAGUCACUUGAUCAUCGUAGAUGUCACCAUCUUUGAGAUAGUGAUAUCUAUUUUUAGACUGUGAAAGAAGUUUGAACUGAGGAAUAGAGAUGCAGAAAUGGUUCCUAUUUUAUGACAGUGACAUUUCAAAAUCCAGAAAUGGAAGAAUGUAUACUUGAUGUCAGGAAUCAUUCCAUGCAUAAGAAUUCACUCCUGUCUUAAAUUGAAUAUGUAAUUAACUGUAAUUAAUGAAACAUAAUAAUUUUGUUAUUAUAGAAAAAUAAAUAUAUUUUUAUUUAUUAAAUAAAA